rnacentral:rRNA from 1 species
GUGCCAGCAGCCGCGGUAACACGUAGGGUGCGAGCGUUGUCCGGAAUUAUUGGGCGUAAAGAGCUCGUAGGCGGUGUGUCGCGUCGGCCGUGAAAACCUGGGGCUUAACUCUGGGCUUGCGGUCGAUACGGGCAUCACUGGAGUUCGGCAGGGGAGACUGGAAUUCCUGGUGUAGCGGUGAAAUGCGCAGAUAUCAGGAGGAACACCGGUGGCGAAAGCGGGUCUCUGGGCCGAUACUGACNCUGAAGANCNAAAACGUGGGGAGCGAACAGGAUUANAUACCCUGGUAGUCC